ACUGGGGAUACUCUGAGUGUGUUAUUUAUCUACUUUGCUUUAGAUUGCUCUUUCUCUCUAUAUAUACAUUUGCGGAGAAAUGGAUCAGUCACGCCUUCAGACUCGAUGUGUAUUUAUCUAAAAUUAGUGUGGGUGAUUUUCAACAUAAUGAACGCAUCUUCAAUUCUUAUCACAUUCUCAUACUAUACAUUUUUGGAUGCAAACAUGCAUGCGAGGAGUAUAAACAAACAUAUGAUUAAUUCUGUGUUUACAGUUCUGAACAUUUUUAUCAAUGAC